GUCCACGCCGUAAACGAUGGGUGCUAGUUGUCAGGCAGCUUGCUGCUUGGUGACGCAGCUAACGCAUUAAGCACCCCGCCUGGGGAGUACGGUCGCAAGAUUAAAACUCAAAGGAAUUGACGGGGGCCCCGCACAAGCGGUGGAGCAUGUGGUUUAAUUCGAAGCAACGCGCAGAACCUUACCAACCCUUGACAUGUCUCGUAUGGAUUCCAGAGAUGGAUUCCUUCAGUUCGGCUGGCGAGAACACAGGUGUUGCAUGGCUGUCGU
rnacentral:rRNA from 1 species